rnacentral:rRNA from 1 species
UGAGACACGGCCCAGACUCCUACGGGAGGCAGCAGUGGGGAAUCUUAGACAAUGGGCGCAAGCCUGAUCUAGCCAUGCCGCGUGAGUGACGAAGGCCUUAGGGUCGUAAAGCUCUUUCGCCAGAGAUGAUAAUGACAGUAUCUGGUAAAGAAACCCCGGCUAACUCCGUGCCAGCAGCCGCGGUAAUACGGAGGGGGUUAGCGUUGUUCGGAAUUACUGGGCGUAAAGCGCACGUAGGCGGAUUGGAAAGUAUGGGGUGAAAUCCCAGGGCUCAACCCUGGAACGGCCUUGUAAACUCCCAGUCUAGAGUUCGAGAGAGGUGAGUGGAAUUCCAAGUGUAGAGGUGAAAUUCGUAGAUAUUUGGAGGAACACCAGUGGCGAAGGCGGCUCACUGGCUCGAUACUGACGCUGAGGUGCGAAAGUGUGGGGAGCAAACAGGAUUAGAUACCCUGGUAGUCCACACCGUAAACGAUGAAUGCCAGACGUCGGGGGGCUUGCCCUUCGG